GUGACGGCUAGACCAAUGGGAUUUGAAAAUGGCCUUGAUGAUUCAGACGGCCGUGACGUCAGCGGGGUCAAGUUGUCGGCAGGCGGAGCGCGCAGCGUGGAGUAACAGCGCCACCUAGCAGCCGCCUCGGGGUAGGGGCGCCGGAGCCCUUCCCCGCGAACAAAGGAAGCGCCCCCGGGGCGGCAGGGGCAGGAGAGGGGUGGAGGAAGGUGGGAGGGGGGGUUCUAGGAAGAAUGGGGUUUGUUUACCCGGGAACAAGCCUGUAACUCUUGGGGAAAGUGGGGCGGAGAGGGGGGAAAUGCAGGAGAGAGGGAGAGAUCAAGGCAUCUCGGGGCUCAAAACAGUCAAAUUCAAAUUAAAAGGUCAAGACACGAUUCAGGUACUUCUUCCCUUCGCUUCACCUCUUCUUUUCCUCUCCUGGCCUCUGGGCCCCGCUUCUUCCCUUGGGAUGGGUGUGGGGUGAACUUGGUGGGGAGGGCUCCAGUGGGCAGAGAAAGGGAGAAAAAGUUAAGGAAUCCCAAACAGAACUAAACUUCCUGCUCUCCCGCGUCCCGGUUCGCCGGGCUUGGCCCGGGAGCUCAGUUCCCGGACCUCUCCGCUCAUGGAAGCUGGUUGAGUUCUAAGUGCCCCGUGGGGCUUGACGGAGGAACCUCCCGUGUCUGGAGUGGACCAAGGAGGGGGUCACCAUCACUUCAGGACUGCUCCAGGAGGGAAACGGAAUCCGGAGAAUAACUUGUCUUUCCGGUCGCCCCGCAUUUCCCCCCACCCCGGACGAAGCCCGGGGUUUCGAUUUUCCAAAGGGCUGGAGUCUGGCCGGGCAAGGACCGGUGCUCAGGGCGCCCUGGCGUGGAGUGUGGAGGCUGGAUCGCUCCUGGAGAGGCCCAAGCCAGCGGCUGCUAGAAAAGGACUUCGGAAAGAAAUCAGCCGAACUCUCUCAUCCAGGGGGCAAGAGAGGAGGCACAGGGGUCCCUGGACCCCCGGGAAUCCUGGAAGAAAAUGUGUAAUGUGUGACUGGUUUGCAGGGCCAGCCAGGGGGAGAGUAGAAAGGGUUUUGUGUUUUCAUUUGCAGGGGUCGCCGUGGGCUCGGCGCAGGGGUUGGCCGGGGCAAGGUUAGGCUGUUUAGGCCCCAGACGAGACUUGGGACAGCCCGGGCGGCACUCAAUCCAGGGAGCCAUUUGUCCCACCGCCCACCCCGCGGGAAACGGCGGAGACUUUAUGGCCACUCUGUUUGUAUUAUCUGCAUAAGUCUUUCCCCACCAGUUUGAUCGAAACUGUUCGCUUUUACGAGGACCCAACGAAAAUUCCCCGUCAUAUUUAUCAGCCGGGGAUAAAAAUUUAGUAUGGGAACUGAUAUUUCCUCAUUUAUGGGGCGAUGAAAUUAAAGACCAAAGCAAUUGAGAAUUAUAUGGCUUUGGGGGGGGGUUCCUCCCCCCCUCUUUCACAUCUCCUUUAUUUUCCUGCCUGGUGUGCCUGUCCCUGGAGUUUGGCGUCCCAGUCUCCUGCCCUUGCCCCCUGUUUGGGGGUCUGCUGGGCCCUCUCCUUCACACCCAGGUACCGCUUGGCCAACCUUAGCUUUUCCUAGUUUUUCUCUCGGUGUCCGUAGCUGGGGGCCUCCCGGAGCCUCUGCCCCGGCCACGCUGGGAUCUGGCUGGGGUGGUGGAGGGUUGCCAAGAGCUUCGCAGGGGAAGAAUGGGAGCCCAGCCUGGGAGGGGGCGAGGAAGGGGGUGGGGGGUGAAGAGGACAAACUCCAGAUUACCUCUCAAAAACAGCAAGCCCCAAGACUUAACCUGGGGAACUAACGGGAGAGGAGCGGAGUCACUCCGCCUCCGGACCGGCUCUCCCUACCAGCCCGACACCCACCCCAAACUCACUCCUUACCUCAGCCAUGGGAGGGGUUGGAGUCGCUUCAGAAUUCUUGCCAUUAUUAAUGGAAAUUAUCCCCCCCCCCCGGGAGAAGGAGCCUCCCGCCUCGGCUCUCACCUCCUCACAAGAACGAAUAGUGUUUAAAGUUGAAAUAAUUAAAAGUAUGAUAAACACGG